CCUACGGGUGGCAGCAGUGGGGAAUAUUGCACAAUGGGGGAAACCCUGAUGCAGCGACGCCGCGUGAGCGAAGAAGUAUUUCGGUAUGUAAAGCUCUAUCAGCAGGGAAGAAAAUGACGGUACCUGAGUAAGAAGCUCCUGCUAAAUACGUGCCAGCAGCCGCGGUAAUACGUAUGGAGCAAGCGUUAUCCGGAUUUACUGGGUGUAAAGGGAGCGCAGGCGGCCUAGUAAGUCUGAUGUGAAAUGCCGGGGCUCAACCCCGGAGCUGCAUUUGAGACUGUGAGGCUGGAGUGUCGGAGAGGCAGGAGGAAUUCCUAGAGCAGCGGUGAAAUGCGUAGAUAUUAGGAGGAACACAAGGGG
rnacentral:rRNA from 1 species